rnacentral:rRNA from 1 species
GCUCAUUAAAUCAGUUACAAUUUAUUAGAUCGUACACUGUUACUUGGAUAACUGUGGGAAUUCUAGAGCUAAUACAUGCCGAGAGUCUCUGCUCUUCGGGGCAGAGCGCAGUUAUUAGACCAAAACCAGCCGUAUCUUUCGGGGUACGCUCUUUUGGUGACUCUGGAUAACCUUCAGCCGAUCGCAUGGCCUCGUGCCGGCGACGUAUCUUUCAAGUGUCUGCCCUAUCAACUUUCGAUGGUACGUGAUAUGCCUACCAUGGUGAUAACGGGUAACGGGGAAUCAGGGUUCGAUUCCGGAGAGGGAGCCUGAGAAAUGGCUACCACAUCCAAGGAUGGCAGCAGGCGCGCAAAUUACCCACUCCCAGCUUGGGGAGGUAGUGACGAAAAAUAACAAUGCGGGACUCUAAGAGGCCCCGUAAUUGGAAUGAGUACACCUUAAAUCGUUUAACGAGUAUCAAUUGGAGGGCAAGUCUGGUGCCAGCAGCCGCGGUAAUUCCAGCUCCAAUAGCGUAUAUUAAAGUUGCUGCAGUUAAAAAGCUCGUAGUUGGAUCUGGGGCUUGAGGUCGCUGUCUAUCGUUUCGGCGAUGACGGUGAUGCUCAGCUCUGCUUGCCGGUGACUGUUGCGGUGUUCUUAAUUGAGCGCUGUAGCAGCACGGCACGUUUACUUUGAAAAAAUUAGAGUGCUCAAAGCGUGCUUGUCGCUUGAAUAAUGUUGCAUGGAAUAAUGGAAUAGGACCUCGGUUCUAUUUUGUUGGUUUUCGGAGCUUGAGGUAAUGAUUAAGAGGGACGAACGGGGGCAUUCGUAUUGCGGUGUUAGAGGUGAAAUUCUUGGAUCGCCGCAAGACGGACUACUGCGAAAGCAUUUGCCAAGAAA